GACGAACGCUGGCGGCGUGCUUAACACAUGCAAGUCGAACGGUAAGGCCCUUCGGGGUACACGAGUGGCGAACGGGUGAGUAACACGUGGGUGAUCUGCCCUGCACUUCGGGAUAAGCCUGGGAAACUGGGUCGAAUACCGGAUAGGACCACUGCCUGCAUGGGUGGUGGUGGAAAGCUUUUGCGGUGUGGGAUGGGCCCGCGGCCUAUCAGCUUGUUGGUGGGGGGAUGGCCUACCAAGGCGACGACGGGUAGCCGGCCGGGGAGGGUGACCGGCCACACUGGGACUGAGAUACGGCCCAGACUCCUACGGGAGGCAGCAGUGGGGAAUAUUGCACAAUGGGCGCAAGCCUGAUGCAGCGACGCCGCGUGAGGGAUGACGGCCUUCGGGUUGUAAACCUCUUUCAGCACCGACGAAGCGCAAGUGACGGUAGGUGCAGAAGAAGGACCGGCCAACUACGUGCCAGCCGCCGCCGUAA
rnacentral:rRNA from 1 species